UACGUAGGUGGCGAGCGUUAUCCGGAAUUACUGGGUGUAAAGGGCGCGUAGGCGGGUAUGCAAGUUGGAUGUGAAAUUCCGGGGCUUAACUCCGGAUUGUCAUCUAAAACUGUGUAUCUUGAGUGUCGGAGGGGAAAGUGGAAUUCCUAGUGGAGUGGUAAAAUGCGUAGAUAUUAGGAGGAACAUCGGUGGCGAAGGCGACUUUCUGGCUGACAACUGACGCUGAGGCGCGAAAGCGUGGGUAGCGAACAGGAUUAGAUACCCUGGUAGGUCCCUGA
rnacentral:rRNA from 1 species